rnacentral:rRNA from 1 species
GCCCCGGCUAACUACGUGCCAGCAGCCGCGGUAAUACGUAGGGGCUAGCGUUAUCCGGAUUUACUGGGCGUAAAGGGUGCGUAGGCGGUCUUUCAAGUCAGGAGUUAAAGGCUACGGCUCAACCGUAGUAAGCUCCUGAUACUGUCUGACUUGAGUGCAGGAGAGGAAAGCGGAAUUCCCAGUGUAGCGGUGAAAUGCGUAGAUAUUGGGAGGAACACCAGUAGCGAAGGCGGCUUUCUGGACUGUAACUGACGCUGAGGCACGAAAGCGUGGGGAGCAAACAGGAUUAGAUACCCUGGUAGUCCACGCUGUAAACGAUGAGUACUAGGUGUCGGAGGUUACCCCCUUCGGUGCCGCAGCUAACGCAUUAAGUACUCCGCCUGGGGAGUACGCACGCA